CAGUCGCCACGGGAAUACGUAGGGUGCAAGCGUUAAUCGGAAUUACUGGGCGUAAAGCGUGCGCAGGCGGUUCGUUAAGACAGAUGUGAAAUCCCCGGGCUUAACCUGGGAACUGCAUUUGUGACUGGCGGGCUAGAGUAUGGCAGAGGGGGGUAGAAUUCCACGUGUAGCAGUGAAAUGCGUAGAGAUGUGGAGGAAUACCGAUGGCGAAGGCAGCCCCCUGGGCCAAUACUGACGCUCAUGCACGAAAGCGUGGGGAGCAAACAGGAUUAGAUACCCGCGUAGUCCCUGUCUCUUAUAC
rnacentral:rRNA from 1 species